CCACCCCCUCUGCCGCCGCCGGCCUGCCCCGCGACCCCGCCCGCCCCCGGCGUCUCCCGCGCCACGGGAGUCCCCGCACGCGGACGCCGCACAUUCGCGAAACCCAUCGCAUCGGCCAUCCCCGCGGCUGCCUCCUCCUCGAUCGAUCCGGGAGAGAUCUCUCUUGCCUGCUCGUCUCUCUCGCCCCUGCCGGCCGGCCAGUGCUCUUCCCGUCCCACUUCGUUUCGAUCGACCAUGGCGGCUUCCGCCCCCAACGGUAGUCCCACUUUCAGGUGUAGCUCCAGUUUCAGGUCUUGGAGCUCGUUGAGGACUAGUGUAGACCAUUUGUUCCUGUGCUUCUCAGUGGCCAUCAGCUCACAUCUUCCCUGGUUUUCAGAGAGUGGCAGGAGACAAGGGUAAUGCUCUGGCCGCAUCUGGUGGUGGCAGUGGAUUAGUGAAGCUCUGGGACACAGAGAGAUGGCAGCCAAUUACCAGCCUUACUGUCCCACGUCCAGAGGGAGCUCGCCCUGACAGGACAGCAGUGGCAAGUUUGUCCUUUCAGUUGCCUGGAGCCUGGAGCCCUGAUGGAAAGCUGUUAGCAUGUGAGCCGUGAUGGCGGGAUCAAGUAUAGAAGCUAGUUAUUAAAUAAAAUAUAAAAUUUCAUGUUGCUUCAAAUGUCAUUCUGGGCAUCUUAAGAUGUUUUGUAUAGCAAAUUCUGUGUAACUAGCUUCUAUAUUUGUGUGUUUUGCUCUAAGGCUGAUGAUAUUUUGUUUGAUGACAUGUGAACUGUUGGACUCGUUUGUUAUGGUUUAUGUGUGCUAUAUAUGUGGAUUUGUGUGAUA